ACCUCUGCAAUCCUCCCUAUAGCAAGAUGGGUCAAAGCCUGAUCCCUACCCCCGAAAAUGGGUGUCAAGUGUCUCCGUCAAGGACAGACUUAAGACUCACCCGAAAGAAAACGAGACUUCUGGUAAAGCCCUAGAGACCUGAUCUGGCAUCACCGGCUUUGCUCUAUUUGCUUUGAGGAAGCCAUCCUUCCCUGGUCGUCUUCACUGCAUCUGCUCUGUGUACAGAAUCCUUCUCAUUCUAAUCCACCUUGGUGGCAGUAAGUGCUUAGAUAAGCAAACUUGGCUCACCAAUACCAUGAGGUUCUUUGGUGGGUGAAGAGAUGUUUCCUUUUCCCAGGUCCCCUUACUUCCUCUCCAUCCCCCCACUAAACUCCCAUCUUCUCUCUGUACUUCUCUCACCUUGUACUCCUGCACCACCUCCUCCAAUGGCACCACGCUGUGCUGUUUGUGGCUCCUGGAUUCUCGGCACACCACACAGAUGGCCUCUUCGUCUACCUCGCAGAAGAGCUUCAGGGCUUCUUGGUGUUUGGGACAGAUGCCCUGAUCGGUCACGCGGCUCCCUCGACCAGGGGUUGGGUGCAUCUGCCGAAUCACCUGGACCAUAUUGGCCAGCUGCAGGUUGGGGCGGAAGCUCCGCCGAGGAAAGCUCUUUCGGCACUGAGGGCAUGUGAAGCACCUCCGAGGGGCUGGAGGCGGGGGCAGUGGGGUGACGGGGUCUAGAUCCUCUUCCUCAACCUCCUCCAGCACUUCCUCCUCGUCCUCCUCAUCCUCCCCCCUCAGGUCCUCCUCCUCCAUGUCCCCCAAGUAGUAGUCCAGGUCUUCCUCCUCGUCCUCCUCCUCCCACACAUAGUCCAUGUUGUCCCAGCUGGACCUGCUCAUGCCACUGGUCCAGAACACACCCUCUUCUUCCUCCUCGACCUCCUCCUCCAUGUCACCCUCGUAGUCUUCAUCCCGCAUGGGGGUGUCCCACCCCGCGCCAGCCCCCACAGCCUCCACUUCCUCCUCCUCUCCGUCCUCCUCCUCCUCCUCCCGAUCUAACUCAUCUCUGUCCUCCUCAUCCUCCCCACCCCACAACUGGGUUACACAAACUCGGCAGAAGUUGUGCCCGCAGCCGAUGGACACGGGGUCCGUGAAGUAAUCGAGGCAGAUGGCGCACACCGCCUCCUCCUGAAGGGUCUGCACAGGGUUGGGUGUCAUGGCAACGGCAGCCAUCUUAGUGUCCAGCCAGCCAGUGUAGAGGUUCGGUGGGGGGGCGAGGGGCGGGGGUCUUCCCUACCGACGCCCUGGCGACCCGGCUCCACCCCCAGCCCUGCCCCUCCACACCUCGCCCCAAGAGCAGCCAGAGAGAUGUCCUGCCGACAACCCACCCCAACACAGUGUUCCCUACUCCCAAACGACAACCGUGUCUCUACGAGGGGAGGGGACAGUGCUGGGCGCCACCGCCAAGUCCCUCAGGUGGCUCUGAGUACAAGUCUGCCCCAAUGCUCCCUUGGACUCCUCAUAAACCCCCGCCCCUCCUCACUUCCUGGCCCCGCCCCUAGCUUCCGGCCUCCUUCCCAACACUUCCGGCGUCUACACACCACCUAAGCUCGCGACUUCCCUCCGCUGUCCUGCUACUCCCCCUUUUUCCCCGCGGGGCCCCAGGGCGACAGGAAAUGGCGAGGAGACGCUCUAGUCCGCACUAGAGAACAGGGCGGGAGGGCUAGGACGGUGGAGGCCCGCGUCUCUGUGGUAAGAGGCCGCGGGGAACGCAGAAAGAACAGAGGAACCGCCUACCCCCAUCCCCCGCCGCUGGGGAGAAACUUCGGGGGGUAGGGGGAGCGCCUGGCGGCCGUCUGCUUUCGGUGCUAUCACCGCAUCGGCCAGACGCCAUCCUACCCUCCCGGCACAGCCGACUGCAGCCGGUACUCCCCACAGCCGAUGCCGGAAGCGAGGGGGUGGGUCCGCGGCGCGCCCUGAAGUACUUCCGGCCCUUCUAGGCAGACGACUUCGUUGUGGAGGACUCAGAGGGUCGUCCGGGUCGGACCGGGGGCGGGGCCUGAGAAAGCGCUUCGCGGGUUAGGGCAGCAGACGCCCCACCCUUCCCCAACUGUAGUCGGCGUUUCGCAUCCGAGGUAGAAACUGCCAACCGGACACUGUCUCAUGGUUUAGAUGAACUUCCCUAACUGCCCAGCAGUGAAGAAGUGGUGACGAAUCAUUACAUCUACAUUCUCACAGCAUCUCUGCAAAAAUAGAUGCUUUGUGCGGUAGAAAUAAUACUUGAUGCUUAAAUAGCUCUUUAAAUUUUAUUUUUAUAGAGAUUUGAUGUCGAUACAUAAAUAAAUAAAUGUUGUUUGAUGCGAG
rnacentral:lncRNA from 1 species